rnacentral:tRNA from 1 species
UCCCUCGAGCCGGAUUUGAACCAGCGACCUAAGGAUCACCGUUGUAACAUCUACAGUCCUCCUCUCUGCCAACUGAGCUAUCGAGGG